rnacentral:rRNA from 1 species
GACCUGGCUGGGUGGUCUUGCCGCAAGGUAAGCACUGCCUCUGGUCGGGUCUUUCCUUCUGGGGAACCUGUGUGCCCUUAAUUGAGUGCGCAGGGGAUCCAGGACUUUUACUUUGAAAAAAUUAGAGUGUUCAAAGCAGGCCUUUGCUCGAAUAUGUUAGCAUGGAAUAAUAAAACAGGA